CCUUGAACCAUUUGAUAAAUUAGUCUUGGCAGCCAGCAGAGGUCAGGUCCAUACUCUGACGGGGUCGACUAGAUGAGUUUAUAGAGCUGUGUGUGUGUGU